UGGGGGAUAUUGCACAAUGGGCGAAAGCCUGAUGCAGCGACGCCGCGUGGGGGAUGAAGGCUUUCGGGUUGUAAACCUCUUUCGCUAUCGAACAAGGCCCGCUUAGGGUGGGUUGAGGGUAGGUGGAGAAGAAGCGCCGGCUAACUACGUGCCAGCAGCCGCGGUAAUACGUAGGGCGCGAGCGUUGUCCGGAAUUAUUGGGCGUAAAGGGCUUGUAGGCGGCUUGUUGCGCCUGCUGUGAAAACGCGGGGCUUAACUUCGCGCGUGCAGUGGGUACGGGCAGGCUUGAGGGUGGUAGGGGUGACUGGAAUUCCAGGUGUAGCGGUGGAAUGCGCAGAUAUCUGGAGGAACACCGAUGGCGAAGGCAGGUCACUGGGCCAUUACUGACGCUGAGGGGCGAAAGCAUGGGUAGCGAACAGG
rnacentral:rRNA from 1 species